rnacentral:rRNA from 1 species
CACUCCUGCGGGAGGCAGCAGUGGGGAAUUUUGGACAAUGGGCGAAAGCCUGAUCCAGCAAUGCCGCGUGUGUGAAGAAGGCCUUCGGGUUGUAAAGCACUUUUGUCCGGAAAGAAAUCCUUGGCUCUAAUACAGUCGGGGGAUGACGGUACCGGAAGAAUAAGCACCGGCUAACUACGUGCCAGCAGCCGCGGUAAUACGUAGGGUGCGAGCGUUAAUCGGAAUUACUGGGCGUAAAGCGUGCGCAGGCGGUUUGCUAAGACCGAUGUGAAAUCCCCGGGCUCAACCUGGGAACUGCAUUGGUGACUGGCAGGCUAGAUUAUGGCAGAGGGGGGUAGAAUUCCACGUGUAGCAGUGAAAUGCGUAGAGAUGUGGAGGAAUACCGAUGGCGAAGGCAGCCCCCUGGGCCAAUACUGACGCUCAUGCACGAAAGCGUGGGGAGCAAACAGGAUUAGAAACCCUAGUAGUCCCA